rnacentral:rRNA from 1 species
AACUAACAAGGAUUCCCCUAGUAACGGCGAGUGAACCGGGAAGAGCUCAAAUUUGAAAUCUGGCGUCCUCAGGGCGUCCGAGUUGUAAUCUAUAGAGGCGUUUUCCGUGCCGGACCGUGUCCAAGUUCCUUGGAACAGGAUAUCAAAGAGGGUGACAAUCCCGUACUUGACACGAUGACCGGUGCUCUGUGAUACGUCUUCUACGAGUCGAGUUGUUUGGGAAUGCAGCUCAAAAUGGGUGGUGAGUUCCAUCUAAAGCUAAAUAUUGGCGAGAGACCGAUAGCGAACAAGUACCGUGAGGGAAAGAUGAAAAGCACUUUGGAAAGAGAGUUAAACAGUACGUGAAAUUGUUGAAAGGGAAACGAUUGAAGUCAGUCGUGACUGAGAGGCUCAGCCGGUUCUGCCGGUGUAUUCCCCUCAGUCGGGUCAACAUCAGUUUUGUCCGGUGGAAAAGGGCGGUAGGAACGUGGCACCUCCGGGUGUGUUAUAGCCUGCCGUCGCAUACAUCGGGUGAGACUG